rnacentral:rRNA from 1 species
UAGCGUCGUGCCUAUACUCGGCCGUCAACGGCACAGGGGGCGGCACCUUCGCCGGUGCCGGGCCGUUAUGCCUUGACGAGUAGGAGGGUCGCGGCGAUGAGCGCAGAAGGGUCUGGGCGUGAGCCUGCCUGGAGCCGUCGUCGGCGCAGAUCUUGGUGGUAGUAGCAAAUACUCCAGCGAGGACCUGGAGGACUGACGUGGAGAAGGGUUUCUUGUGAACAGCUGUUGCACAAGAGUCAGUCGAUCCUAAGCCCUAGGAGAAAUCCUAUGUCGAUGGGGAGCCGUUGAAAUGACGGCGCAGCUGCCAAGCGCGCUCGAUACGUAGAAGGCGACCCACGGGGCGAAAGGGAAUCC